AUGUUUACCGCCAAACCAGGGCGCGUCCUGGCGAUGGUUGCGUGCGCCGAAGGUAUAGGUGUGCCCCGUGGCUCUGGAAUGUUCAGGCAAGCGCUGCACGCCGUCUCAUACAUCAGCGAGGACAAGAUCGCUGCCAAAGUGGACUACUUGAAGAAGACGUUUAGGUGGUUGGAUGCCGAGGUUGGCAUUGCUGUGUCCAAGGGGCCGUUUAUACUGGCGAGGUCAAAGGACUUGCUGAAGCGCAGGUCUGAGUUCCUUAUCUCUGAGGUGGGGUUGGAGCCGGCGUACAUUGCUCGCCACCCAUCAUUGCUCAGUUAUAGCUUGGAGGGCCGGCUCAGGCCCUGGUACUAUGUUAUGAAGUUUCUUACUGAAAACAGAUUGCUCAAGCGUCACACGUGCUACUAUACAUUUGUCAAGGCCACCGAGAUGGAAUUCUUGGACAAGUUCAUAUGCCCUUACAAGCAAGCUGCACCACACCUUGCCGAAGACUAUGCAGCUGCUUGCAAAGGGGAAGUGCCAACUAGAUUCAGAUUUACAUGA
rnacentral:rRNA from 1 species